CCACAUGUUUAUUGACUAAAACCAGCUCGACACGGCAGAGAAGAAGAAUGCAUUGCCUUAAAUAUCCAAAUGUGUCUCCUCAUUACUGUGUCGCAGUUUCGUGAACUCACCAAGACGUCACCGUGGAGUUAUUGAGUCUGUUUAGCUGAUUGGAGAGCUAGCUUCCGCAGCUGGCGGGUCCAUGACCACGACUUCUGUUUCGUUUGAACAGCCGCAUUAUAGACACCAUUUGGAAACAAUUAAGAGCCGCUGACAAGGAUGGCCGCCGUCUCCACGCCUUCAUGCCGCCCACUCCUCCCUGCCUCUGCUGUGCUCACAAGUCAUUAGUCCACCUUCGCUCUACCACCUGAGCCAUUAGCCGGACUUCUCACGUCACCCCAGGCAAGUGAUCGAGUGAAGACCUUCGACCUGACUGGUGUAUGUGGGUGUGGUACAUUGCGGCUCUCUGAGUCAUUGGAGUGGCAGGCCUCAGAGGGCUCUCCUUCAGCAGCGAGAGGCUCCGACCAAUCACUUCCCCAGAUGGCGCUGGGUCAACCAGGAAGUAGGAAGCCGGGGUCAGCCAAUGAAAACCCGGCUUCCCCUUUACCACUGACCCGUGACAACAUCCUGCCAUGGAAAACAGACUGGAACCGGUUGUUUGCGCAUCGAGGGCUUCCUCUUUUCUUGGAACGUGGACUAGAAACCCCGUCUUACCUUUCUGUUCUUUAAAAAACGUGUUUUUAAUCCCGUUCUUACGCGACCCGUCCAGAUAGACAUGAGCGACACAAUGUUUGAUUCCAAGUGUCCUUUCGGAAUGAACUAAAUGAGCAUCAAAUUAAAGCAAAGUGAUUCCAGACAAUGGGCUAUAAAACUGGGCAUCAAUCCCAAUAAAAACCGGGACAAACUAAGGUGUCUUUGGCUGCAAAUUGAUUCCCCUCAUGUUUAUUGUCCCUCUCUCCUCCAUCCAGUGUGAGCACAGCUCUGAAAGCAAAUAAGGCUUGCAUCAAAGAUUCAUACAAACGUGUUUUCUACCCCUCUUCUACUAUUUAUUCCGCUUGCUUUUUCCUGUGUCCCCGAGAGAUAAACUUAAUCAGGCUCUGUGGAACUUAUGUCCUAUGGUUUUCAUCUGAUUGGUCAAUCGAAGACCAACGUUACAGGAACGUACACUUUAUCCCUGAGAGCUGAGCCCUCUCGGUCUACCGAGCUAUCUACAUUCCUACUCUCACCUACGGUCAUAAAGUGUGGGUCAUGACCGAAAGAAUAAGAUCGCGGAUACAAGCGGCCGAAAUGAG